AGGGUGGGAGCUGGGGUGGGGGGAAGGUAGAGGAGGAGGGUCCCUGCGCAUGCGUAGACUGAGUGAAGGCAGACCCCACCCCCACCCCUCCCCACUGCCUGGCGUUCCCUAGGGAUUGUCGAGUGCGUGUCAUUUCCCCCUGGGACUGGGGACUGGCCUAGGUGUGAUUACAGAGCAUGCCGGGAGCCAGAGUCCGCCUAGGAGCUCUCCUGGGACCACAAUUCCCAAUAUCCUCCGCGUCAUUGGCCCACCCCCGGGCCUCUUUGACAACCAUUUGAACCAAUGGAGAACGGAAACUUUAAGACGCGAAGACGUUAAAUCAAUGGCAAGCGAACGGGGUGGGCGCUUUACGUCACACCCUUUCCCUAAGUCCAGUGUGGGCUCGCCCCAAACCGGGUGGCGGCCGGCUGGACUCUCCGGGCUCCAGCCCCCGGCUCAGGGCCCUGGCUAACAUUCCUUCCUCUGGCUGGGCCGGCCCGGGGGCGGUGAGUGGAUGGCUGCAGGCCUGGGGAGGUCAGCGUUGGAGAAGGGACUGACUGGUGGCUCAUGCUGGAAACUUGGGGAAGCAGGUGGGUGGUCUGCGUACAGGACGCUUCCCCCCUCCGUUCAGAGGAGCAGCUGACAUCUGUGCAGAGGGCUAGGAGCAGGGGGCAGGGGGCCAGACAGUACCGCCCCCCCUUUACCGAUGACGAAACUGACACCCCGACUCAAGAAAGGGGCUUCUUCCCCAAGGUCACAUGGUUGGGAAGCCCCGGAGUCCAGCCUGGGAUCUUCUUAGUCAAUCAUCAGCAAGCAUUUAUGCAGCGCCUGCUGUAUGCCGGGCACUGUGCUAGGAGCUGAGAAACAGGGAUUGAUGACACUGGAUGAUGUGGCUGGGGACGUCCGGGAGGAGUGGGUUGUCUGGACCCUGCCCAGAGAAUCCUCUGCAGGGUUGCCAUCCAGCAGGGUUAGAAGAAUGGGCUCUGAAUGGGAUUUCCAGACCCACUGUUAUCUCCCAGCUUGAGCAGAAAGAAGAGCCGUGGGUCCUGGAUCUCCAGAGCUUAGAAGAGGGGGAGAUCCUGAGAGAAGCUCACACGGACUUUGAGAACCAGGUGGAAAAGCUGAACCAGGAAGUUUCUGAGGCAGCAGAACAAUUUGGGCCAUCUUUAGGAAGGCCCCAGAAAGAUAUUUCUCAGAAUCCUGAUUGGGAAAGAAAAUGGGAAAGGGAGCAUGUAUUAGAAAGACAACAUGGACCUCUUGCAGGAGAGGGACAAAGGGAACUCCUUUCAAAGGAGAGACAUUUAAGUAAGCUCCUAGGUAGAUAUGUAGGUGAAAAACCCAAUGUGUGUGCAGAAUGUGGAAAAAGCUUUAACCAGACUUCUUAUCUUAUGAGACACCUGAGAACCCAUACUGGAGAAAGGCCAUAUAAGUGCCUUGUAUGUGGGAAAGCCUUCAAACAGAGCUCAGACCUUGUCACCCACCGGCGAACACACACUGGAGAGAAACCCUACAAAUGUAAUGGGUGCGAGAAAAGCUUUGGUGACAGCUCAACUCUCAUCAAGCAUCAGAGGACCCACACAGGCGAGAGACCUUAUGAGUGCCCAGACUGUGGAAAGACCUUCAGUCGGAAGCCACACCUUAUCAUGCACCAAAGAACCCACACAGGAGAGAAGCCCUAUAAAUGUCUUGAGUGUCAGAAAAGCUUUAGUCGGAGUUCAAAUUUCAUUACUCAUCAAAGGAUCCAUACAGGAGAGAAGCCCUAUACGUGUAACGACUGUGGGGAGAGGUUUAGCCAGAGCUCAGAUUUGGUUAAGCACCAAAGAACCCACACAGGAGAGCGACCUUAUAAAUGUCCCGAGUGUGGCAAAGGCUUCCGAGACAGUUCCCAUUUUGUAGCCCAUAUGAGCACUCACUCAGGAGAAAGACCCUUUAGCUGUCCUGAAUGUGAUAAAAGUUUCAGUCAGAGUUCUCACCUUGUCACCCACCAGAGAACACACACUGGGGAGAGACCGUAUAAGUGUGAUGACUGUGGGAAAGGAUUCACUGACAGUUCUGCCCUCAUUAAGCACCAACGGAUCCACACAGGAGAAAGACCCUAUAAAUGUGGGGAAUGUGGGAAGAGCUUCAAUCAGAGUUCCCAUUUUAUUACCCAUCAGAGAAUCCACUUGGGGGAGAGACCCUAUAAAUGUCCAGACUGUGGCAAGAGCUUUAACCAGCGUUCACACUUCAUAACACAUCAGAGGACACACACAGGUGAAAAACCCUUUCAGUGCACCAAGUGUGAGAAGAGCUUUCGGCAGAAAGCACAUCUUUUAUCUCAUCAAAACACCCAUUUAACUUAAGUAAUAAUACCCUUUAGUUGAUCCAUUUCUCUUGGUCAACCUCUGUAAGCCCUAGUGAGUAACUUCAGCUACCCAAAACAGAACUCCCGGAAGCAGUCAUGACCAUUUUUCCGUAGCCCAUCCUAACUACCUGUUCCUCAGAUUGGAGAUGAGUCUCUGAUAAUGCCUCGUAUGUUACUUUGCACAGAGAGGACAGGCAGAAGCAGUUGGAUGCUGGUACACAGUGUGUGGCACAUAGACAUAUGAUUAAUAAAUGCUUGCUGAUUGAUACUCUAGAGGCUUGGUACACACUUAUCAAGAGACAGGAAGUAGGUGUGGACUAGCUAAGUUAUUAAUGGUCUGGGCCCAUAGCCUUUAACAAUUUAGUGUGCAUCUCAGUGGGGGCUUCGUUGAAAGCAAGGAAGGAUUUGUAUAAAACCGGAAAAGGGUAUUGGUUUGUAUUUUUCCAGGCAUCACUCAGCUGUGUCCUUGGGACAAAAGGAAGCAUGGUAGGUUGAAAAGAUGGGGUGCGGGUGGAAAGACUUAUAGAAGCUUUUUCCAAAGCUUAUCUAAAGCUGGUCCUUAUUGGACUGUCCAAGGUUAUUCCCGAGUUGAUUGUACUUUUGUUAUUCUCAUUUUCUGAGGCAUAUAGACUGUUCAGCAUACCAAAGGCACUUGGAAGAGGACGGUAGUUUGGUGGAAUUGAAAUCAUCAAAAGGGCUAAGUGAUAACAGGACUCAGAAUCUCUGGGACAACAGAAUGGGAAAUGGGAGCCCAUUUCCUCAGUCUGCUGGGAGAUUUGUCCCUUACACCAAUAAUUAUGUGCUUAUGUAACCUGAGUCCCUGAUUCUAUGCAUUUUUGUCUCCCUCUAUUUAACAGGAAUAAAUUCCUUAAGUCUUAAGAAUGCUUUUCUUCUCCUGGGUUUGGACCACCACCUCAUUAGGUGAUUGAGCAGCAAUCCUGAGAGAUGGACCUUUCAACCUUGGAGUUCUGGGCUCUUCAGUCAUUGUCCCCUGCCCCUUUGGGAGAUGCUCACUACAGCCGGCUGAGAUUUGCAGCCCUGCAACAUUGCCAAGAGAACAAGAAAUGGGUCUUUGUGCUGAGGGGUGGCUUGGGAUCUUUCAGGGCACAAAACAGUUUCCCAGCAGCAGUCCAACCCACUAUGUCCCUCCUAUUAAAUUCUAGGCCUAACUCAGUGUCCCCUUGGAGUGCCUGUCCCAAGUACAGGUACCGAUGUAUUAACUCAGUGAACCAGCUCCUCCAACUAAAUGUCACAGUGUGGACAAUAGGCAUAUUUAUUGAUUUCGAUUUUUUUCUGUACGGAUAGCUAAGUUGACCUCUUUCAAGUGAGUUAUUCAGUAAACAUUUAUUAAACUCCUUCUAGUGUGUCAGUGAGUCUUUAAUGAGAAUUAACGAAUGUUCAGGGCCCUAAUAUAAUUUGUCUAAUAUCAGUCAAUAGGAGCAUCCGGAAUAUCUCACUCCAUGUGGAUAGUAAAGAUCUAGUCCAUUUGACUUCUUGCACAAAGAUGAUGGUCAUACCCUGGAUAAUAAUAGGAAAGGAGGAAGAUGAGGGGAGAGGUUGGGCCUCAAGCCAAUGAAUUCUGGUUUUGGAUACGAUGAGCUUGAGAUGCUAAUGGGAAAUCCAGUUUAAGGUUUAUUUUGUCCUUUGUUCUCAGAGGACCAUGACAUUGGGAGGUGAUGUCAUGAUUUGCAGUGAAUUGGAUUUAAGUGAGGGAGGGCUGUGCAAAGUCACCAACCUCACUCUUUC